AUUGAACGCUGGCGGCAUGCCUUACACAUGCAAGUCGAACGGCAGCACGGGAGCAAUCCUGGUGGCGAGUGGCGAACGGGUGAGUAAUAUAUCGGAACGUGCCCAGUCGUGGGGGAUAACGUAGCGAAAGCUACGCUAAUACCGCAUACGAUCUAUGGAUGAAAGCGGGGGAUCGCAAGACCUCGCGCGAUUGGAGCGGCCGAUAUCAGAUUAGGUAGUUGGUGAGGUAAAGGCUCACCAAGCCGACGAUCUGUAGCUGGUCUGAGAGGACGACCAGCCACACUGGGACUGAGACACGGCCCAGACUCCUACGGGAGGCAGCAGUGGGGAAUUUUUGGGACAAUGGGCGCAAGCCUGAUCCAGCAAUGCCGCGUGCAGGAUGAAGGCCUCGGUGUAACGUAG
rnacentral:rRNA from 1 species